rnacentral:lncRNA from 1 species
UUUUGACCCUCUCCGUUUCAAGUAUUUCAUUAUCGAGCACGACCCGUAUUUGGUUUUUUUCUUUUCUUUUUCUUCUCAUAUUUGAGAAGCAAUUCUUUAAGAGAUGUGAACUCCACACAUCUCAAAUUGAAAUUUACACACCCUUUUUUUUAUUAAUAAUUUGAAUUUUGUCUUUUAGUGACUUAAAUUUUGUUAUCACCUGACGGAGAAAUUGGAUGGAGAACGGAGGUUUGGACACGGCUGAUGAAAAUUAGGAGUCGAGAGGUGUUUUUGAUGAAACUGAAUUUUUGUCUUUUAGUGACUUAAAUUUUGUUAUCACUUGACGGAGGAAUUGGAUGGAGAACGGAGGUUUGGACACGGCUGAUGAAAAUUAGGAGUCGAGAGGUGUUUUUGAUGAAACUGAAAGAAGAAUGACUAACAUUAUGAUCGACCUAAAGUUAAUAGGGGUAAACUGAAAUUAGUUCUUAAAGAAAUUACAACAUGUACACUGCUCUUAAAACUAGUGGCGUAGCCAUAAUGGGGCAAAUGAAGUCAAUUGAACCCUCUGAGUUUUUCAAACUGAGGCAUGAUUAGUUGAUAUGCGUGUACUUUGUAUAAUAUUUGACCCUUCUACACUGUCAUUCUAAAAUGAAAGAAAGAAGAAUCGUCUUCAAAUGCUUAGGCCAAUUAAC